rnacentral:rRNA from 1 species
AACGAACGCUGGCGGCAUGCCUAACACAUGCAAGUCGAACGAAGGCUUCGGCCUUAGUGGCGCACGGGUGCGUAACGCGUGGGAAUCUGCCCUUUGCUUCGGAAUAACAGUUAGAAAUGACUGCUAAUACCGGAUGAUGUCGCAAGACCAAAGAUUUAUCGGCAAAGGAUGAGCCCGCGUAGGAUUAGCUGGUUGGUGGGGUAAAGGCAUACCAAGGGGACGAUCCUUAGCUGGUCUGAGAGGAUGAUCAGCCACACUGGGACUGAGACACGGACCAGACUCCUACGGGAGGGAGCAGUGGGGAAUAUUGGACAAGGGGCGAAAGCCUGAUCCAGCAAUGCCGCGUGAGUGAUGAAGGCCUUAGGGUUGUAAAGCUCUUUUACCCGGGAUGAUAAUGACAGUACCGGGAGAAUAAGCACCGGCUAACUCCGUG